AACGAACGCUGGCGGCAGGCUUAACACGUGCAAGUCGAACGCCCCUUUCGGGGGGAGUGGCAGACGGGUGAGUAACGCGUGGGAACGUGCCCUUCAGUUCGGGAUAACCCAGGGAAACUUGGGCUAAUACCGGAUACGCCCUUCGGGGGAAAGAUUCAUUGCCGAAAGAUCGGCCCGCGUCGGGUUAGCUAGUUGGUGGGGUAAAAGCCUACCAAGGCGACGAUCCGUAGCUGGUCUGAGGGGAUGACCAGCCACACUGGGACUGAGACACGGCCCAGACUCCUACGGGAGGCAGCAGUGGGGAAUAUUGGACAAUGGGCGCAAGCUUGAUCCAGCCAUGCCGCGUGGGUGAAGAAGGCCCUAGGGUUGUAAACCCCUUUCAGCGGGGAAGAUAAUGACGGUACCCGCAGAAGAAGCCCCGGCUAACUCCGUGCCAGCCGCCGCAGUAAAAC
rnacentral:rRNA from 1 species